UACGGGGGGGGCAAGCGUUGUUCGGAAUUACUGGGCGUAAAGGGCUCGUAGGUGGCCAACUAAGUCAGACGUGAAAUCCCUCGGCUUAACCGGGGAACUGCGUCUGAUACUGGAUGGCUUGAGUUUGGGAGAGGGACGCGGAAUUCCAGGUGUAGCGGUGAAAUGCGUAGAUAUCUGGAGGAACACCGGUGGCGAAGGCGGCGGUUCUGGACUGCAACUGACACUGAGGAACGAAAGCCAGGGGAGCGAAACGGGAUUAGACGUACCC
rnacentral:rRNA from 1 species